AUUGAACGCUGGCGGCAGGCCUAACACAUGCAAGUCGAACGAGUGGCGGACGGGUGAGUAAUGUCUGGGAAACUGCCUGAUGGAGGGGGAUAACAACUGGAAACGGUAGCUAAUACCGCAUACCAUCAGAUGUGCCCAGAUGGGAUUAGCUAUUUGGGGGGGUAACGGUUCACCAGGGCGACGAUCCCUAGCUGGUCUGAGAGGAUGACCGGCAAAACUGGAACGGGGACACGGUCCAGACUCCUACGGGAGGCAGCAGAGGGGAAUAUUGCACAAUGGGCGCAGGCCUGAUGCAGCCAUGCCGCGUGUAGGAAGAAGGCCUUCGGGUUGUAAAGUACUUUCAGCGGGGAGGCGUUACCCGCAGAAGAAGCACCGGCUAACUCCGUGCCAGCCGCCGCGGUAAUAC
rnacentral:rRNA from 1 species